rnacentral:lncRNA from 1 species
GCCCGAUCUGCAUGCCCUCUGAGCCAUUGUUUUGACUUAUCACUUGUUGGUUAAGUUCCCUACCAUCCAAGGUGUGGGCGAACUCUGAGGUGAUCAGGCCUUGGCCAGGUACUGCUAUGUCGCCUCCCUUAGAGGAAAGAAGUCUAGAGAGGCCUUGUCAAUCAAAGGAUUCGAUGUCGACAAUGAAGGAAGGCAAUUGAGUGGGGAACCAGCCAUGCACUCAUUUCGAUCCCCCUGCAUGAGUCAAAUCCCAGCUGGACC